UGCCAGACUCCUACGGGAGGCAGCAGUGGGGAAUCUUCCGCAAUGGGCGAAAGCCUGACGGAGCAACGCCGCGUGAUCGAAUGAAGGCCUUCGGGUUGUAAAGAUCUGUUGACAGGGACGAAUAAGCAAUGCGAAUAGUUUUGUGUAUGACGGUACCUGUUUAGAAAGCUCCGGCUAACUACGUGCCAGCAGCCGCGGUAAUACGUAGGGAGCGAGCGUUAUCCGGAAUUAUUGGGUGUAAAGGGUGCGUAGACGGGAAAACAAGUUAGUUGUGAAAUCCCUCGGCUUAACUGAGGAACUGCAACUAAAACUAUUUUUCUUGAGUGCAGGAGAGGUAAGUGGAAUUCCUAGUGUAGCGGUGAAAUGCGUAGAUAUUAGGAGGAACACCAGUGGCGAAGGCGGCCUGCUGGACUGCAACUGACGUUGAGGCUCGAAGGCGUGGGGAGCAAACAGGAUUAGAUACCCCAGUAGA
rnacentral:rRNA from 1 species